rfam:Heterocephalus glaber contig112338, whole genome shotgun sequence.
GGAUAUUAAUGUUCAAAUCAAGAGGGAGAGGGAGUAGCAGAGAUUUCUCCUUGUGCAACUCUCCUGAAGCUGCAUGCUCGGUCAGACAGGAUGACCUUCUCUGAUAGUGGAGGACCUCCAUUCUUUGGACAAGGGUAUAUAGGUAGCUGUGCUCCCCUGCUAGAACCUUCAAACUAGUUCUCAAGAAAAUGGCAAUGAUGUCCUAGAAAUGGAGAAAGGGGAAAAAAUAACAGCACAGAACCCCAGGAAGCCU